UAGGCGUAAACGAUACUCGCUAGGUGUCGGCCACGGUGCGACCGUUGUCGGUGCCGUAGGGAAGCCGUGAAGCGAGCCACCUGGGAAGUACGGCCGCAAGGCUGAAACUUAAAGGAAUUGGCGGGGGAGCACAGCAACGGGUGGAGCUUGCGGUUUAAUUGGAUUCAACGCCGGAAAUCUUACCGGGACCGACAGCAACAUGAAGGCCAAGCUGAAGACUUUGCCGGAUUAGCUGAGAGGUGGUGCAAUGGCGUAGUCG
rnacentral:rRNA from 1 species